GACAGAGGGUGCAAGCGGUGUUCGGAAUUACUGGGCGUAAAGCGCGCGUAGGUGGCUUCGUAUGUCGGGUGUGAAAGCCCUUGGCUCAACCAAGGAAGUGCGCCCAAAACUGCGAUGCUCGAGUUUGGGAGAGGAUGGUAGAAUUCUCAGUGUAGAGGUGAAAUUCGUAGAUACUGGGAGGAACACCGGUGGCGAAGGCGACCAACUGGACCAACACUGACACUGAUGUGCGAAAGCGUGGGUAGCAAACAGG
rnacentral:rRNA from 1 species